rnacentral:rRNA from 1 species
AGAGUUUGAUCCUGGCUCAGGACGAACGCUGGCGGCAUGCCUAAUACAUGCAAGUCGAGCGGAGUUGAAGAGAAGCUUGCUUCUCUGAUGCUUAGCGGCGGACGGGUGAGUAACACGUAGGUAACCUGCCCAUAAGACUGGGAUAACAUUCGGAAACGAAUGCUAAUACCGGAUACACAAAUUUAUCGCAUGAUAGAUUUGGGAAAGACGGAGCAAUCUGUCACUUAUGGAUGGACCUGCGGUGCAUUAGCUAGUUGGUGAGGUAACGGCUCACCAAGGCGACGAUGCAUAGCCGACCUGAGAGGGUGAUCGGCCACACUGGGACUGAGACACGGCCCAGACUCCUACGGGAGGCAGCAGUAGGGAAUCUUCCACAAUGGACGAAAGUCUGAUGGAGCAAUGCCGCGUGAGUGAUGAAGGUCUUCGGAUUGUAAAGCUCUGUUGCCAGGGAAGAACGCUUAGGAGAGUAACUGCUCCUAAGGUGACGGUACCUGAGAAGAAAGCCCCGGCUAACUACGUGCCAGCAGCCGCGGUAAUACGUAGGGGGCAAGCGUUGUCCGGAAUUAUUGGGCGUAAAGCGCGCGCAGGCGGUUCAUUAAGUCUGGUGUUUAAGGCUGUGGCUCAACCACAGUUCGCACUGGAAACUGGUGAACUUGAGUGUAGGAGAGGAAAGUGGAAUUCCACGUGUAGCGGUGAAAUGCGUAGAGAUGUGGAGGAACACCAGUGGCGAAGGCGACUUUCUGGUCUGUAACUGACGCUGAGGCGCGAAAGCGUGGGGAGCAAACAAGAUUAGAUACCCUGGUAGUCCACGCCGUAAACGAUGA